AAAUUGAAGAGUUUGAUCAUGGCUCAGAUUGAACGCUGGCGGCAGGCCUAACACAUGCAAGUCGAACGGUAACAGGAAGCAGCUUGCUGCUUUGCUGACGAGUGGCGGACGGGUGAGUAAUGUCUGGGAAACUGCCUGAUGGAGGGGGAUAACUACUGGAAACGGUAGCUAAUACCGCAUAACGUCGCAAGACCAAAGAGGGGGACCUUAGGGCCUCUUGCCAUCGGAUGUGCCCAGAUGGGAUUAGCUAGUAGGUGGGGUAACGGCUCACCUAGGCGACGAUCCCUAGCUGGUCUGAGAGGAUGACCAGCCACACUGGAACUGAGACACGGUCCAGACUCCUACGGGAGGCAGCAGUGGGGAAUAUUGCACAAUGGGCGCAAGCCUGAUGCAGCCAUGCCGCGUGUAUGAAGAAGGCCUUCGGGUUGUAAAGUACUUUCAGCGGGGAGGAAGGGAGUAAAGUUAAUACCUUUGCUCAUUGACGUUACCCGCAGAAGAAGCACCGGCUAACUCCGUGCCAGCAGCCGCGGUAAUACGGAGGGUGCAAGCGUUAAUCGGAAUUACUGGGCGUAAAGCGCACGCAGGCGGUUUGUUAAGUCAGAUGUGAAAUCCCCGGGCUCAACCUGGGAACUGCAUCUGAUACUGGCAGGCUUGAGUCUCGUAGAGGGGGGUAGAAUUCCAGGUGUAGCGGUGAAAUGCGUAGAGAUCUGGAGGAAUACCGGUGGCGAAGGCGGCCCCCUGGACGAAGACUGACGCUCAGGUGCGAAAGCGUGGGGAGCAAACAGGAUUAGAUACCCUGGUAGUCCACGCCGUAAACGAUGUCGACUUGGAGGUUGUGCCCUUGAGGCGUGGCUUCCGGAGCUAACGCGUUAAGUCGACCGCCUGGGGAGUACGGCCGCAAGGUUAAAACUCAAAUGAAUUGACGGGGGCCCGCACAAGCGGUGGAGCAUGUGGUUUAAUUCGAUGCAACGCGAAGAACCUUACCUGGUCUUGACAUCCACGGAAGUUUUCAGAGAUGAGAAUGUGCCUUCGGGAACCGUGAGACAGGUGCUGCAUGGCUGUCGUCAGCUCGUGUUGUGAAAUGUUGGGUUAAGUCCCGCAACGAGCGCAACCCUUAUCCUUUGUUGCCAGCGGUCCGGCCGGGAACUCAAAGGAGACUGCCAGUGAUAAACUGGAGGAAGGUGGGGAUGACGUCAAGUCAUCAUGGCCCUUACGACCAGGGCUACACACGUGCUACAAUGGCGCAUACAAAGAGAAGCGACCUCGCGAGAGCAAGCGGACCUCAUAAAGUGCGUCGUAGUCCGGAUUGGAGUCUGCAACUCGACUCCAUGAAGUCGGAAUCGCUAGUAAUCGUGGAUCAGAAUGCCACGGUGAAUACGUUCCCGGGCCUUGUACACACCGCCCGUCACACCAUGGGAGUGGGUUGCAAAAGAAGUAGGUAGCUUAACCUUCGGGAGGGCGCUUACCACUUUGUGAUUCAUGACUGGGGUGAAGUCGUAACAAGGUAACCGUAGGGGAACCUGCGGUUGGAUCACCUCCUUACCUUAAAGAAGC
rnacentral:rRNA from 1 species